rnacentral:rRNA from 1 species
ACGCUCGACACCUACGGGAGACAGCAGUGGGGGAUAUUGCACAAUGGGGGGAACCCUGAUGCAGCGACGCCGCGUGAGGGAAGAAGGUUUUCGGAUUGUAAACCUCUGUCCUCAGGGAAGAAGAUGACGGUACCUGAGGAGGAAGCCACGGCUAACUACGUGCUAGCAGCCGCGGUAAUCUGAGGCGGGCUGGCAAGGC